AGGGAAAGAGGGAGGGAGGGCGAACACAGGCAAGUCGAACGGCAGCACAGUAAGAGCUUGCUCUUACGGGUGGCGAGUGGCGGACGGGUGAGGAAUACAUCGGAAUCUACUUUUUCGUGGGGGAUAACGUAGGGAAACUUACGCUAAUACCGCAUACGACCUACGGGUGAAAGCAGGGGAUCUUCGGACCUUGCGCGAUUGAAUGAGCCGAUGUCGGAUUAGCUAGUUGGCGGGGUAAAGGCCCACCAAGGCGACGAUCCGUAGCUGGUCUGAGAGGAUGAUCAGCCACACUGGAACUGAGACACGGUCCAGACUCCUACGGGAGGCAGCAGUGGGGAAUAUUGGACAAUGGGCGCAAGCCUGAUCCAGCCAUACCGCGUGGGUGAAGAAGGCCUUCGGGUUGUAAAGCCCUUUUGUUGGGAAAGAAAAGCAGCAGGUUAAUACCCCGCUGUUCUGACGGUACCCAAAGAAUAAGCACCGGCUAACUUCGUA
rnacentral:rRNA from 1 species